AUUGAACGCUGGCGGCAGGCUUAACACAUGCAAGUCGAACGCCCCGCAAGGGGAGUGGCAGACGGGUGAGUAACGCGUGGGAAUCUACCGUACCCUACGGAAUAACGCAUGGAAACGUGUGUUAAUACCGUAUACGCCCUACGGGGGAAAGAUUUAUCGGGGUAUGAUGAGCCCGCGUUGGAUUAGCUAGUUGGUGGGGUAAAGGCCUACCAAGGCGACGAUCCAUAGCUGGUCUGAGAGGAUGAUCAGCCACAUUGGGACUGAGACACGGCCCAAACUCCUACGGGAGGCAGCAGUGGGGAAUAUUGGACAAUGGGCGCAAGCCUGAUCCAGCCAUGCCGCGUGAGUGAUGAAGGCCCUAGGGUUGUAAAGCUCUUUCACCGAUGAAGAUAAUGACGGUAGUCGGAGAAGAAGCCCCGGCUAACUUCGUGCCAGCCGCCGCCGUAACAC
rnacentral:rRNA from 1 species